CACGUAGGGGGGCGAGCGUUGUCCGGAUUCAUUGGGCGUAAAGGGCGCGCAGGCGGCCCGGAAAGUCGAAUGUGAAAACUCGAGGCUCAACCUCGAGCGUGCACCCGAUACUGCCGGGCUUGAGGCAGGUAGGGGAGAUCGGAAUUCCUGGUGUAGCGGUGAAAUGCGCAGAUAUCAGGAGGAACACCGGUGGCGAAGGCGGAUCUCUGGGCCUGUCCUGACGCUGAGGCGCGAAAGCUAGGGGAGCGAACAGG
rnacentral:rRNA from 1 species